CCUGGGUUACCACCAUGCCUUAAUUCCAACGCAAUGUUUGCUUCUGGCUUUUUCAAUUGACAGAUUUCCAACAGAGUUUUUGACAGCUGAUAAAUUAAACUCUGGGCUACCAAUAGCUGGGUAUUGCUCAGUUGGGUUCACAGAAAGAGAAGGAAGAAAUAAAGAAUGGGAGGCACAACAAUGGUGUUGAUGGGGCGCACUGGCAAUGGGAAAAGUUCGACUGGAAAUUCCAUCCUUGGACGCAAUGGCUUUAUCUCGCGCUGGAGUUUUUCAUCUGUUACGAAAGAGUGCAAGCUCGAGCAAACUACGCUCAAGGAUGGCCGAUUAUUAAGCGUGAUCGACACCCCUGGUCUGUUUGAUACAAAUGUCUCAAAGGAAUUUCUUCAGAAAGAAAUUGUCAAAUGUAUUGAGCUCGCAAAGGAUGGAGUGCAUGGAGUUCUUUACGUUCUCUCUGUUAAAAACCGCUUUACAGAUGAAGAAGCAGAUGUUUUAGAUAGCUUACAGAUGCUAUUUGGACCCAAAAUCCUCAACUACAUGGUGGUUGUCUUUACUGGUGGUGAUGCGUUGGAAAAGGAAGGGUUGACAUUACAAGACUACUUGAAGGACAGCCCACAAAAGCUCAAGGAGGUUCUUCGAAGAUGUAACAUGAGAAUGGUGCUUUUCGAUAAUAAAACUACAUUGGAAACAAAGAAGCAAAAACAAAGAAGUGAAUUACUGAAGCAAAUAGACACUAUAACAGCUGAAAAUGAAGGUCGGCCUUAUUCGAAUGAGUUGUUCCAGGCAAGACCAGAGAUGUCUCACACUCAACAGGUGGGUACUGAUUCAAGAAGGGGAAAUUCCAAAGAAGAAUUGGAAAAGGCGAAUGCAGAACAACUCAAACGAUUAAAUGAUAUGGUGGAAGAGAAGAUGCAAACAACAAUAAAAACAUUGGAAGAGAAGUUGGUAGCUGAGCAGAACGCCCGAAGGCAAGCUGAGGAAAGAAUUCGAUUGGCACAACAACAGUCACUUGAAAGAAUUCGAAUCUGCAAUCUUCCAAGGAUGCCUACACAAUCAGAUACCCAAAACUUUGGCGUUUCAGUGGAGCCCAAUAGAGUCAAAAUAAUAUUACCAUGCUCAAUUUUAUGAAGGAAUUUAAAAAUAUAUUGUAUAGACAACAAAAGUCAGAGUGAAGGAAGAUUGUGUUUGUGACUACGCAUUUUAAGGCCUUCCAUUUUUAUUCUGAGGUCACUAUAAAGACAUACAAAAGGCUUUGAAACAUCGUUAUAUGUAAAAUUAUGUUAUUAACUUUUUUGAAAUGGGUAUCCUAAAAGGCAAUGUCAUUAGUAAGUCUUUGCUAUGGGC